GACGAACGCUGGCGGCGUGCUUAACACAUGCAAGUCGAACGGAAAGGCCCUGCUUUUGUGGGGUGCUCGAGUGGCGAACGGGUGAGUAACACGUGAGUAACCUGCCCUUGACUUUGGGAUAACUUCAGGAAACUGGGGCUAAUACCGGAUAGGAGCUCCUGCUGCAUGGUGGGGGUUGGAAAGUUUCGGCGGUUGGGGAUGGACUCGCGGCUUAUCAGCUUGUUGGUGGGGUAGUGGCUUACCAAGGCUUUGACGGGUAGCCGGCCUGAGAGGGUGACCGGCCACAUUGGGACUGAGAUACGGCCCAGACUCCUACGGGAGGCAGCAGUGGGGAAUAUUGCACAAUGGGCGGAAGCCUGAUGCAGCAACGCCGCGUGCGGGAUGACGGCCUUCGGGUUGUAAACCGCUUUCGCCUGUGACGAAGCGUGAGUGACGGUAAUGGGUAAAGAAGCACCGGCUAACUACGUGCCAGCAGCCGCGGUGAUACGUAGGGUGCGAGCGUUGUCCGGAUUUAUUGGGCGUAAAGGGCUCGUAGGUGGUUGAUCGCGUCGGAAGUGUAAUCUUGGGGCUUAACCCUGAGCGUGCUUUCGAUACGGGUUGACUUGAGGAAGGUAGGGGAGAAUGGAAUUCCUGGUGGAGCGGUGGAAUGCGCAGAUAUCAGGAGGAACACCAGUGGCGAAGGCGGUUCUCUGGGCCUUUCCUGACGCUGAGGAGCGAAAGCGUGGGGAGCGAACAGGCUUAGAUACCCUGGUAGUCCACGCUGUAAACGGUGGGUACUAGGUGUGGGGUCCAUUCCACGGGUUCCGUGCCGUAGCUAACGCUUUAAGUACCCCGCCUGGGGAGUACGGCCGCAAGGCUAAAACUCAAAGGAAUUGACGGGGCCCCGCACAAGCGGCGGAGCAUGCGGAUUAAUUCGAUGCAACGCGUAGAACCUUACCUGGGUUUGACAUGGAUCGGGAGUGCUCAGAGAUGGGUGUGCCUCUUUUGGGGUCGGUUCACAGGUGGUGCAUGGCUGUCGUCAGCUCGUGUCGUGAAAUGUUGGGUUAAGUCCCGCAACGAGCGCAACCCUUGUUCACUGUUGCCAGCACGUUAUGGUGGGGACUCAGUGGAGACCGCCGGGGUCAACUCGGAGGAAGGUGGGGAUGACGUCAAGUCAUCAUGCCCCUUAUGUCCAGGGCUUCACGCAUGCUACAAUGGCUGGUACAGAGAGUGGCGAGCCUGUGAGGGUGAGCGAAUCUCGGAAAGCCGGUCUCAGUUCGGAUUGGGGUCUGCAACUCGACCUCAUGAAGUCGGAGUCGCUAGUAAUCGCAGAUCAGCAACGCUGCGGUGAAUACGUUCCCGGG
rnacentral:rRNA from 1 species